CCCCUUACCAAAAUAUUUUAUCUCACCAUCUUAACCAAUGAAUAAACAAAACAAACCAACAAAAACAAAAGGGGGAAACUCCCAGAAAACUGAUUUGAAAACAUAGCAAAGCUCUGAGCUGGAAGUGGGGAUUCCCUGAUAACAGAAGCAGAGAAGGCCUAGCGUUGUGUGUGGUGCCCAGGCUCCUCCCAAGCGCAGACACCUCUGACAGCAAGGCAGACAGAACACUAGUAGGCACCAGGAGCUCUGUCUCUCGGGGCUAUUCCAUUGAUGAACAGCAAAAUCAUCAGAGCCCUCUUCCUGAUCGCCCCUUGAACUUACACCCAUAAGUUCUCAUCGCCAAUGUCGCAACUUAGGAGCAACUUAUCUAAGUGUAUGAGUGCUUUGCCUGUGGUGUGUGUGUGUGUGUGUGUGUGUGUGUGUGUGUGUGUGUGUGCCUGAGAAGAGAGCAUUGGGUCCCCUGGAACGGGAGUGAGAGACAGUUGUGAGUAUCAUGUAGGUCCCAGGAAUCAAACCCAGAUCCUCUGGAAGAUCAGCCAGGGCUCUUAGUUUUUGAGCCUUGACAAUUAGUAUGAUGCCUAAGCUGGUCUGAGACCUGUGGGGUCUCAGGCAUUCACCCAUAAUCAUCUUAAGUAAUUUAAAAGCUCUAUUUAUCAUUUAUUCUAUAUGUAUUAGUAUUUUGCCUUAUAUCUGUGUACCACAUGUAUGCUAGAUGCCCCCGAAGGCUGGAAGAAGACAUCGGGUUGCCUGAAACUGGGGUUACAGAGUGUUGUAAGCUGCCAUGUGGGUGCUGGGGAUUGAACUCUAGUCUUCUGGAGGAAAUGCUGUAAACCAGUGAGUCGUCUCUCUAACCUCUGGAUAAGUAACUUUUGAGCAGUUAACAGUCCGUGGGGAAUACAUUACAUAUGCAGAACAAUGUGGGUCAAAACAGGUUACAUUCCCAGGCCCGGGAAACAACUCCUAUCCUGCUUCCUCAGGCGUUUCACGUUUUUCUGUAAACAUGUUUGAAUGGAAAGAGAGAAGUUGCAGAUUAUCUGACCAGACACACGAGUUGUAAAUGUAUUGGCUGUCAGGGCUUAAAUUGACUAAGUGCAGCUUGUCUGCCCCUUAUCAUUCUGAAUUCGUGCCAGAAGUCCAGGAGGGGACCUGGCUGGAUUGAGGACCCUGAAGCCAGGUGAUCUGAAUAAAGAAAGUCACUUGCUCGACUCCUGUGUCAAAAUAUGACUGGAAAAUGCUACAGCCAUCUCUGCUCUUCCUCACUUUGGGGUUCCAGCCUUUUAAAAUGCUGUACAGUUUCUCUUAGGGAUCGCAGUUCAGUUCUAGAGUGUGUUUGGCAGCCCUGAUCAAUCUGUAGUGGCCCAACUACAGUAAGAUUUUGGCAUCUGCUUAAAUACUUACUAAGACGAAUGGUCAAAGACAUAGUCGGAAGGCUGGAGAGAUGGCUCCGUGGUUAGGAGCACUGGCUGUUCUUCCAUGAGGCCCUGAGUUCAAUUCCCAACAACCAAUGGGCUUACAAAGACACAGUCAAGAGUCUGUGCUGUUGUUCCUGACUGGCCUGUUUUUUGCUGCCUAAUCAAAUAAAGAUCUUGCUCUGCUGGACUCUUGUGACUGCUUGGGUUGUUUUGGUUUUUCGGACCCCCCAACACCGGGUACUGGCAUUAUAGGGAUGUCCCAUGAUGCUUAGCAGUUCCUGUGGGGUUUGUCCUAUGUUAGUGCACGUGCCGGCAGGCAGUUUUCUUACAGCUUUUUAGAAGUUAUUUAGAUUUAUUUGCAAUGUAUGCAUUACACAUGUAUAUCCCUAGUCUGUGGCUCUGAGCCCCUUGCAGUUUACUGAACAACACACCCAAACACGUUCCCUCUCCUACUGGUAUCUUUGGAUAAGAGCAUGGAGUGGCACACCCAACGUUUGGGCGUUUUAUUCAGGCUUUGUUUAAACUGAGGUGUAGGUAUUCCCCUAUGUCGUCAGCCAAAGCGCACUGCUCCUGUCACUUUCAGGUCAACAAUUCUCAUGAGAUUUUCUGCUGUGCUUGGUGUAGUCAGGAAUCCGAUUUUAUAAUUUUUUUUCCCUGUAAAUGCACAGCCCAACGUCAAAUAGGUCCUUUCUCCUAACCCUGUUGUGUUACCUUUUAUUAUUAAUUUUUUUGUGACACCUUUGUUAUUAUAAACUGUCCAUAAAGGAGGGGCUGGUUCUUGCUCCCCUAUUCUGUUCCAUCGGUAUGUAUACCCAUCCAGACAUUAUCUUAAUUUCUUUAAUGUGCAGUUAACAAGUAGCUUUAUUCUCUGAUAGCACAAGUGUGACUCCUCUCACGUCUUAUGAUGGCUCAUUCAAACGGAUCCAUUCAGGUGUUUUAAAGAGUGCGUGGGUCGUGUCUGCAAGAGGCAUGCUUAGAGAAUUAAUUGGAGAGUCGAGAGAGGCUCCUUUUUGUUUCCAUGGUAUCCUCCCAAGGGUGAGAGACCUAUAGCCACCGUGCCAAUCACUCUGUAGGGAGAUCAUAAUGCGUCAGCAGGCUCGCUCGUCAUUUAUCCCACAGGGACAAACACGGCUCAAAUCCCAGACAUGAAUCCAAAGAAGAUUUAAUACCCCCUGUACAUAUUUUCCACCCAGUGGUAGAGGUAAGCCUUUUCCCGCGGGUCCCAAGCACACGCGCUCAAUGCUGCUGGAGGAACCCUCAGCGAUUCUUGCCCUUCGCUCGGACAAACACCCCCACGGACGGCGAGAAACAGUACUGACCAACCGUCGGCUGACUCAGGGACUGUUUCUAAUUGAAACACAACCUCGCUGCGUGAGCAACGCAGAACCAAGACCAAAACACAGGUUUCUGACCCCUAAACGCACAAGCCUCCGGGAACCACUGGCUUGUAUCCAAUCAGAGGUCCCCUGGCACCACUUGCCCGCCCCCUGGCCCUGUCCGGCCACUUCAUUCGCGGCUCACAAAGCAAUCCCGCCGCGCUUUCUUCACAACACCCAAUCAGAGAAUAGGAGGCGGGGACUCCCUGACGCGGCGAGAGCAGCGGUACUCAGACAGGCGAGCCUCGGGAUCUUUCGGGUUCUUUCGCUUUCCCUCCAGGGUAAAGUUAUGUUCAGUCUUCCAUCAACACGUUUAUUUUUCCUUCCGACGCGGCGCGCGUGCGCAGUGCCUCCCAGCCCAGGCUGUUCCUGAAAUGUAAGCCUGUUGAGACUCAGGGAGGGAAGCUGAUCGUCCAUCCUACAGGAGCUUUGGAGGUAAGAAGACGCUUCCAGAAACUGUAAUUAUGAAGAGAGUUACAGACAGCUGGGACUGAUCAUGUGGGUCCUGGGAACCAAUCUAGGUACGAGUACUAAUCACUCUUAAGCACUGAACUCUUUCCAGCCCCCCUAUUU
rnacentral:sRNA from 1 species